CCUACGGGAGGCAGCAGUGGGGAAUAUUGCACAAUGGGGGAAACCCUGAUGCAGCGACGCCGCGUGAGCGAAGAAGUAUUUCGGUAUGUAAAGCUCUAUCAGCAGGGAAGAAAAUGACGGUACCUGAGUAAUAAGCUCCGGCUAAAUACGUGCCAGCAGCCGCGGUAAUACGUAGGGAGCAAGCGUUAUCCGGAUUGACUGGGUGUAAAGGGAGCGCAGGCGGCCGUGCAAGUCUGAUGUGAAAUCCCGGGGCUCAACCCCGGAGCUGCAUUGGAAACUGUGAGGCUGGAGUGUCGUAGAGGGAGGCGGAAUUCCGAGUGUAGCGGUGAAAUGCGUAGAUAUGAGGAGGAACACCAGUGGCGAAGGCGGCCUGCUGGACGAUGACUGACGCUGAGGCUCGAAAGCGUGGGGAGCAAACAGGAUUAGAUACCCUGGUAGUC
rnacentral:rRNA from 1 species